GUUUGUUAGUCAGAUGUGAAAGCCCGGGGCUCAACCUCGGAAUUGCAUUUGAAACUGGCAGACUAGAGUACUGUAGAGGGGGGUAGAAUUUCAGGUGUAGCGGUGAAAUGCGUAGAGAUCUGAAGGAAUACCGGUGGCGAAGGCGGCCCCCUGGACAGAUACUGACACUCAGAUGCGAAAGCGUGGGGAGCAAACAGGAUUAGAUACCCUGGUAGUCCACGCCGUAAACGAUGUCUACUUGGAGGUUGUGGCCUUGAGCCGUGGCUUUCGGAGCUAACGCGUUAAGUAGACCGCCUGGGGAGUACGGUCGCAAGAUUAAAACUCAAAUGAAUUGACGGGGGCCCGCACAAGCGGUGGAGCAUGUGGUUUAAUUCGAUGCAACGCGAAGAACCUUACCUACUCUUGACAUCCUCAGAAGCUUGUAGAGAUACGAGUGUGCCUUCGGGAACUGAGAGACAGGUGCUGCAUGGCUGUCGUCAGCUCGUGUUGUGAAAUGUUGGGUUAAGUCCCGCAACGAGCGCAACCCUUAUCCUUGUUUGCCAGCGAGUAAUGUCGGGAACUCCAGGGAGACUGCCGGUGAUAAACCGGAGGAAGGUGGGGACGACGUCAAGUCAUCAUGGCCCUUACGAGUAGGGCUACACACGUGCUACAAUGGCGCAUACAGAGGGCGGCCAACUUGCGAAAGUGAGCGAAUCCCAAAAAGUGCGUCGUAGUCCGGAUUGGAGUCUGCAACUCGACUCCAUGAAGUCGGAAUCGCUAGUAAUCGUGGAUCAGAAUGCCACGGUGAAUACGUUCCCGGGCCUUGUACACACCGCCCGUCACACCAUGGGAGUGGGCUGCAAAAGAAGUAGGUAGUUUAACCUUCGGGGGGACGCUUACCACUUUGUGGUUCAUGACUGGGGUGAAGUCGUAACAAGGUAGCGCUAGGGGAACCUGGCGCUGGAUCACCUCCUUA
rnacentral:rRNA from 1 species